rnacentral:lncRNA from 1 species
GUCCCUAGCAGAGGCUCUGCUGUGGCAUGCUUUACCUACUUGCUGUGAGCACAUGGAUUUAUUUUAAACCACAGAUUCCUGACAGCCUUUGGUCUCAGCUUCUGGCUCUAUUGCAACUGGACACUGAGAUGAGUUUCAAGCAGCCUUUGCACAAAUCCUGACCUUUAACCUUGUCGUCUGGGAGCUUCAGCUACUAUCACUGAAAUACUGAAUGACAGUUCAAUGUAAAUGGCUGGUAACAAGGUAAAGCAAAUGGAAAAAAAAAUUACUGGGCUUGCAGACCUGAAAUUGUGUUAAGAAGAUAAGACAGAAACACACCCAAAGUUAAGAUAACAGCAGCUAUUAUCAUGAGACUCUGUGCCAAGUAUCCCACAUUGCAAGUGCUGUUGGAGAUUUCAAGUUGACAAGGAUUACUUCCUCUGAGAAGAGAAAGUCACAGGAGGUGGUUUCGUGGUCAAUGAUUGUUUUCUGAAGUAUUUGUACAUGGCUUUGCCCCUUUCACGAGCUAUGGAAGCCAGCACUGUCAGGUCCUCAUUAUCACCCAGAAGCAUUUCAAUGACCAGAACAUGAUGGCUGCCUUUGGCCACCACCAUUGUCUAUACUGUAGCAUCAGACAGAUAUCCAUGAAAGAAGGUGAUGAGCACAUAUUAAAUGCAGAAUAAGAUGAGCUACUACUUUCUGAAUCAGUCUCAACAAAGUCAAGACAGCUCUCUGUGACAUCCAACCACAUGGUAUCUAGAUGUCCGUUAACUUCAUUAGCAACAGAACAGCCAUCCAGGACGACCUACUUAAUUGAAUCUCAGAACAGGUCACUGCAAUGUCCUGCCAGAAAGCCUUCAUUCACAGGUACACAGAAGAUGAAAUUUAUGGCAACUGAGAACAACACAUGUGACUUUGCCUGAGUAUCAGCAGCAUGAGAAUGACACAGAACUGGGGAAUGCCACAGUCAGAGCCUUGAUCUCUAUGUAUCCAAAAACUUCUGCAUUCCACUUCUUCCUAUUUGCAGCUACCUGGAAAUGUGUGUUGUCUCUAAAUGUUUGGAUUCCUCACUCCCCAAGAAGAAAAAGGACAUAUUUCUUUGAUUGUGCUGUUUUCCCUUUACCCUUGAUUUACUCCUACACUACACUUUAGAUUUCUAUUUCUAUUCUGUGAUGAACGUGUUACUUACUUUCGUAUUAAAAAGAAUACAUUGUUCCAACAACCAAAAAAAAGGGGGGGAGUGGAAGAAAUAAACAAAUAAAGACAAACCAUGUACAAGAGACCUCUAGUCUUAUUAGUAUGACUAGAGAGUGGGACAGGAGAUAAUCAGAUGUUAAAUUUCAAAAGCUCCUAUUAAAUUUUC